rnacentral:rRNA from 1 species
CCUACGUGGAGCAGCAGUGAGGAAUAUUGGUUAAUGGCCGGAAGGCUGAACCAGCCAUGCCGCGUGAAGGUCAGUGCCCUAUGGGCGUUAAACUUCUUUUGUGCGGGAGCAAUAAUGGUCACGUGUGGCCAGACGAGAGUACCGUACGAAUAAGCAUCGGCUAACUCCGUGCCAGCAGCCGCGGUAAUACGGGGGAUGCACGCGUUAUCCGGAUUUAUUGGGUUUAAAGGGUGCGUAGGCUGUGAGGUAAGUCAGCGGUGAAAUGCCCCCGCUCACCGGGGUGAAGUGCCAUUGAUACUGCCUUGCUGGAAUGCGGAGGCCGUGGGAGGAAUGUGUGGUGUAGCGGUGAAAUGCAUAGAUAUCACACAGAACACCGAUUGCGAAGGCAUCUCACGAAUCCGCGAUUGACGCUGAUGCACGAAAGCGUGGGUAUCAAACAGGAUUAGAUACCCGGGUAGUC